CCAGACUCCUACGGGAGGCAGCAGUGAGGAAUAUUGGUCAAUGGGCUUACGCCUGAACCAGCCAAGUCGCGUGAGGGAAGACUGCCCUAUGGGUUGUAAACCUCUUUUGUCAGGGAGCAAAGGGCGCCACGUGUGGCGUUUUGCGAGUACCUGAAGAAAAAGCAUCGGCUAACUCCGUGCCAGCAGCCGCGGUAAUACGGAGGAUGCGAGCGUUAUCCGGAUUUAUUGGGUUUAAAGGGUGCGUAGGCGGACGCUUAAGUCGGGGGUAAAAUGGCGGGGCUCAACCUCGUCGAGCCGUUGAAACUGGGUGCCUUGAGUGGGCGAGAAGUACGCGGAAUGCGUGGUGUAGCGGUGAAAUGCAUAGAUAUCACGCAGAACUCCGAUUGCGAAGGCAGCAUACCGGCGCGCAACUGACGCUCAUGCACGAAAGCGUGGGUAUCGAACAGGAUUAGAUACCCCAGUAUA
rnacentral:rRNA from 1 species